AGUGAACGCUGGCGGUAGGCCUAACACAUGCAAGUCGAACGGCAGCACAGUAAUAGCUUGCUCUUACGGGUGGCGAGUGGCGGACGGGUGAGGAAUACAUCGGAAUCUACUUUUUCGUGGGUGAUAACGUAGGGAAACUUACGCUAAUACCGCAUACGACCUACGGGUGAAAGCAGGGGAUCUUCGGACCUUGCGCGAUUGAAUGAGCCGAUGUCGGAUUAGCUAGUUGGCGGGGUAAAGGCCCACCAAGGCGACGAUCCGUAGCUGGUCUGAGAGGAUGAUCAGCCACACUGGAACUGAGACACGGUCCAGACACCUACGGGAGGCAGCAGUGGGGAAUAUUGGACAAUGGGCGCAAGCCUGAUCCAGCGAUACCGCGUGGGUGAAGAAGGCCUUCGGGUUGUAAAGCCCUUUUGUUGGGAAAGAAAAGCAGCAGGUUAAUACCCCGCUGUUCUGACGGUACCGAAAGAAUAAGCACCGGCUAACUUCGUG
rnacentral:rRNA from 1 species